GACGAACGCUGGCGGCGUGCCUAAUACAUGCAAGUCGAGCGAAUCGAUGGGAGCUUGCUCCCUGAGAUUAGCGGCGGACGGGUGAGUAACACGUGGGUAACCUGCCUGUGAGACUGGGAUAACUUCGGGAAACCGGAGCUAAUACCGGAUACGUUCUUUUCUCGCAUGAGGAGAGAUGGAAAGAUGGUUUCGGCUAUCACUUACAGAUGGACCCGCGGCGCAUUAGCUAGUUGGUGAGGUAACGGCUCACCAAGGCGACGAUGCGUAGCCGACCUGAGAGGGUGAUCGGCCACACUGGGACCGAGACACGGCCCAGACUCCUACGGGAGGCAGCAGUAGGGAAUCUUCCGCAAUGGACGAAAGUCUGACGGAGCAACGCCGCGUGAGCGAAGAAGGCCUUCGGGUCGUAAAGCUCUGUUGUUAGGGAAGAACAAGUACAAGAGUAACUGCUUGUACCUCGACGGUACCUAACCAGAAAGCCACGGCUAACUACGUGCCAGCCGCCGCAGUAAGAC
rnacentral:rRNA from 1 species